GGGCCCGUAGCUUAGCAUGGUAGAGCGCCCGGCUGAUAUUCCCGGUGUGAUCAGGCACCGGGAGGCCGUGGGUUCAAGUCCCACCGGGCCCA
rnacentral:tRNA from 1 species